rnacentral:rRNA from 1 species
UACGUAGGGUGCGAGCGUUGUCCGGAAUUAUUGGGCGUAAAGAGCUCGUAGGCGGCCUGUCGCGUCGAUCGUGAAAACUUGGGGCUUAACCCUGAGCUUGCGGUCGAUACGGGCAUGACUGGAGUUCGGCAGGGGAGACUGGAAUUCCUGGUGUAGCGGUGAAAUGCGCAGAGAUCAGGAGGAACACCGGUGGCGAAGGCAGGUCUCUGGGCCGAUACUGACGCUGAGGUGCGAAAGCGUGGGGAGCAAACAGG